GCUUCGGCUAUCACUUUUGGAUGGUCCCGCGGCGUAUUAGCUAGAUGGUGAGGUAACGGCUCACCAUGGCAAUGAUACGUACCCGACCUGAGAGGGUAAUCGGCCACAUUGGGACUGAGACACGGCCCAAACUCCUACGGGAGGCAGCAGUAGGGAAUCUUCCACAAUGGACGAAAGUCUGAUGGAGCAACGCCGCGUGAGUGAAGAAGGGUUUCGGCUCGUAAAACUCUGUUGUUAAAGAAGAACAUAUCUGAGAGUAACUGUUCAGGUAUUGACGGUAUUUAACCAGAAAGCCACGGCUAACUACGUGCCAGCAGCCGCGGUAAUACGUAGGUGGCAAGCGUUGUCCGGAUUUAUUGGGCGUAAAGCGAGCGCAGGCGGUUUUUUAAGUCUGAUGUGAAAGCCUUCGGCUCAACCGAAGAAGUGCAUCGGAAACUGGGAAACUUGAGUGCAGAAGAGGACAGUGGAACUCCAUGUGUAGCGGUGAAAUGCGUAAAUAUAUGGAAGAACACCAGUGGCGAAGGCGGCUGUCUGGUCUGUAACUGACGCUGAGGCUCGAAAGUAUGGGUAGCAAACAGGAUUAGAUACCCUGGUAGUCCAUACCGUAAACGAUGAAUGCUAAGUGUUGGAGGGUUUCCGCCCUUCAGUGCUGCAGCUAACGCAUUAAGCAUUCCGCCUGGAGAGUACGGCCGCAAGGCUGAAACUCAAAGGAAUUGACGGGGGCCCGCACAAGCGGUGGAGCAUGUGGUUUAAUUCGAAGCUACGCGAAGAACCUUACCAGGUCUUGACAUACUAUGCAAAUCUAAGAGAUUAGACGUUCCCUUCGGGGACAUGGAUACAGGUGGUGCAUGGUUGUCCUCAGCUCGUGUCGUGAGAUGUUGGGUUAAGUCCCGCAACGAGCGCCACCCUUAUUAUCAGUUGCCAGCAUUAAGUUGGGCACUCUGGGUAAAACUGCCG
rnacentral:rRNA from 1 species